GCUCGGGAAGUCGGUCCCGGGCCCGGGCCGGUGGGGCCCGCUUUCACAUGGGGCCCGGGCCGGCCGGGGCCUCUCGGCGGUCCUCGGUGCUGCUCGCCGCCGCGGCCCCGAAGCCGGUGGGGGGCCGGGCAGGAAGGCGGGAGCCGCGGGCCGGGCGCCGCCGGAGGCUGGGGAAGCGACGGGAGCGGUGCGUCCGCGACUGCAGAGGCAGUAGCCCGGAUCGUCGUCCUGGUCGUCGCCGCCAGCGGCCGCACAAGCUUCCCGGGCGCCGCUACUGAGCGCUGCCCAGCCGCCACUACACACGGGCCCGUGACGUCCGUCGUUGCGCGGCGACGUCACGGCCCAGCCGCAAAAGCGUCACCGCGCGAUGCCGAGGGGGCGUGGCCGCGCCUGCGCCAUUCUCCCAGGUCCGGCCUGCAGCCCCGCGCCUGGCCCUGGGCUACCGGCUCCAGUCAGCGUGCGUGGAGCUCUCGGGCUUGCUCGGUACCCCAAUAUCCCGAAAAGGGGAGCCCACGUGGGCUGCCUGCAGAGUCCGGAGUAGCCGAAGAAGGAGAGGCAGCGACGGGCCCCGGAUUCGUGACAAGUUGUUUCCAAGGGACUAACCCACGUAGCUCUUAAUUUUGGAUCUAGUUUCAGAAUUUUUCCCAAAGGACUUCAGAAAUUACUGGAGGCUUGCUACCUGACCUUUACCUGCCCCCUGGAAGCCGGCUGGCUACAGUCAAUAUGUAUCCCCUGCUUAAUUCUUGUCAGCAUGCUUGAAGGCGGGCCCAGCAAGUAUUACCUGUGCAGGUUAGCACCUGCGGAGACCCCAACCCGCCCCCAAAGCCAUUGGCAGAGUCAGCGCCAAAUCCCGAAUAUCUUCCACUGAAUCCGUCCUUGACACCUCGUCGCCGGAGCCCUGGAGAACCCCGUGACGUGACUUACCUACAUUCCAGUGUUUUUACUCCCCUCUGCUCUGAUCCAAGAAAGCAUCCUUCCCGCUCCAACCCUUCCUUCCCAGCCUUAAAGCUCCUUGUACCGUUCUUUCCCUGGUCCACCUUCUACGUAGUUACUCGGUUUGCUCUGGAUCCCAUCCCCUCCUUGCCUGUUCCGGACCAAAGUUCAAACCCAGAGAGCCGGGAGCGGCACCCACCGGGCCCAGAGCACCUUCUCCAAUUUGACAGAAGAGGAAACUGCCUUCAAAUACUCUAAUGCCAGGAGUUGGCCUUCUGAGGGGUCCAGAAACUGUAAGUUCCCUGACCAACUUGAUGUGAAUCUCCAGGGGCAGGACCAUGGGAGACAGUCCAGGUGGGCUGCUUGGAUGUCUCUUCCCAAAGGGACUGAAUGCACCUUGAGGGCGAGGCCUCCCGUCUCCACCUGCCUCACCUGCCACCUAGUCCUGCCCA